GAUGAACGCUGGCGGCGUGCCUAAUACAUGCAAGUCGAGCGAACAGACGAGGAGCUUGCUCCUCUGACGUUAGCGGCGGACGGGUGAGUAACACGUGGAUAACCUACCUAUAAGACUGGGAUAACUUCGGGAAACCUGAGCUAAUACCGGAUAAUAUAUUGAACCGCAUGGUUCAAUAGUGAAAGACGGUUUUGCUGUCACUUAUAGAUGGAUCCGCGCCGCAUUAGCUAGUUGGUAAGGUAACGGCUUACCAAGGCGACGAUGCGUAGCCGACCUGAGAGGGUGAUCGGCCACACUGGAACUGAGACACGGUCCAGACUCCUACGGGAGGCAGCAGUAGGGAAUAUUCCGCAAUGGGCGAAAGCCUGACGGAGCAACGCCGCGUGAGUGAUGAAGGUCUUCGGAUCGUAAAACUCUGUUAUUAGGGAAGAACAAAUGUGUAAGUAACUAUGCACGUCUUGACGGUACCUACACAGAAAGCCACGGCUAACUACGUG
rnacentral:rRNA from 1 species